CUGACCUGCCCGGUGAUUAAUUUAACGGCCGCGGUAUACUGACCGUGCAAAGGUAGCAUAAUCAUUAGUCUUUUAAUAGAGGGCUGGAAUGAAAGGUUUAACGAGGAAUUGACUGUCUCAUUUUAUUUGUUUUAAAAUUUAAUUUUUUGGUUAAAAAGCUAAAAUUUCAUUGGAAGACGAGAAGACCCUAUAGAUCUUUAUAAAAAUAUAAUUAGUUAUUAUUAUAUUAAUAUAAUUAAUUAUAUUUUUAUUUUGUUGGGGUGACAAAAAUACAUAAUAAACUUUUUUAUUUAUAUAACAUUGAUUUAUGAUUAUAGGAUCCAUUAUUAGUGAUUGUUAGAUUAAGUUACCUUAGGGAUAACAGCGUAAUCCUCCUCCAGAGUUCAUAUUUACAGGAUGGGCUUGCGACCUCGAUGUUGGAUUAAGAUAAUAAUCAGGUGUAGCCGCUUGAUUUAUAGGUCUGUUCGACCUUUAA
rnacentral:rRNA from 1 species